GUUUUUAUUUAACUUUGAAAGAUGACUACUUUUUUUCGAAGAAACGCUUUUAUUUCUAAAUUCUUCUAGUAUCAUUAUUGAUGGUUUCUUAAAACAAUUAUUAAGUUAAGAGACAUGUCUUAUAAUAGCUUAUAACUAACAAAAGUCUCUUAAAACACUUUUGUUAGAUAUAAGAUAUAUCUCUUAACUAAGAGUUAUGUUAAGAGACCAUCAAUAAGGAUAGUCUAACGUUUAUUAUGAAAACAUAUAAAAACCUACGAUUUCAGGGUAUUAGAAUCCGUCAAAUCUGUUUAUAACUUUUUGAACUUUAAGUUAUGUUGUUUCAAGAAUAUAGAUACAGAUCAAUAAACAUAAAAUAUAUGUUCACUUAACUGAAUAAGUAACAAAUAGAAAAACCAAUUUUUACAGAACUGAAAACUUACUUUAGGAUUUUUUCUCCUUCUAGUAAAAACAACGUAUAAAUAGCCUCUACAAUAAUAUACAAAGCUUUC
rnacentral:sRNA from 1 species